rnacentral:rRNA from 1 species
GACGAACGCUGGCGGCGUGCUUAACACAUGCAAGUCGAACGGAAAGGCCCUGCUUUUGUGGGGUGCUCGAGUGGCGAACGGGUGAGUAACACGUGAGUAACCUGCCCAUGACUUUGAGAUAACUUCAGGAAACUGGGGCUAAUACCGGAUAGGAGCUCCUGCUGCAUGGUGGGGGUUGGAAAGUUUCGGCGGUUGGGGAUGGACUCGCGGCUUAUCAGCUUGUUGGUGGGGUAGUGGCUUACCAAGGCUUUGACGGGUAGCCGGCCUGAGAGGGUGACCGGCCACAUUGGGACUGAGAUACGGCCCAGACUCCUACGGGAGGCAGCAGUGGGGAAUAUCGCACAAUGGGCGGAAGCCUGAUGCAGCAACGCCGCGUGCGGGAUGACGGCCUUCGGGUUGUAAACCGCUUUCGCCUGUGACGAAGCGUGAGUGACGGUAAUGGGUAAAGAAGCACCGGCUAACUACGUG